AUUGAACGCUGGCGGCAUGCUUUACACAUGCAAGUCGAACGGUAACAGGCCGCAAGGUGCUGACGAGUGGCGAACGGGUGAGUAAUGCAUCGGAACGUGCCCAGUCGUGGGGGAUAACUGCUCGAAAGAGCAGCUAAUACCGCAUACGAUCUAUGGAUGAAAGCGGGGGGCCGUAAGGCCUCGCGCGAUUGGACCGGCCGAUGACAGAUUAGGUAGUUGGUGGGGUAAAGGCUCACCAAGCCAACGAUAUGUAGCUGGUCUGAGAGGACGACCAGCCACACUGGGACUGAGACACGGCCCAGACUCCUACGGGAGGCAGCAGUGGGGAAUUUUGGACAAUGGGGGCAACCCUGAUCCAGCAAUGCCGCGUGCAGGAAGAAGGCCUUCGGGUUGUAAACUGCUUUUGUACGGAACGAAACGGUCUGGGUUAAUACCCUGGGCUAAUGACGGUACCGUAAGAAUAAGCACCGGCUAACUACGUGCCAGCCGCCGCCGUAACAC
rnacentral:rRNA from 1 species